CAGGAUGUAAUCAACCUCCGAUCUGCUGAGAAACACUGCAAAAAUGAUUUCCCCUGCCAAAAAUAAUAAUGUCGUUUACAAGCAGCUCUUCCAUGUCUGAGGAAGAACUAGCCCCACGUGUGAGUUUAUGCAGGCUUCAGAGGAGCUAGCAAGGAAAAGGGCAAAUCCUGCCAAUCCCAUGCUAAAAUACCCCGUAUCAGAACCUGAGGGAAGCUGUGGCCCAUUCCAAAGGUGCUGGCAACAUCCAGGAAGAUUCAUAUCCACAAAAAUCCAAACGUCUUUUCAUCCUGCAUGUGAAAUUUCAACCAUGAUGGAUGGAGAGUCUCUGGUCCAAAAUCUCACCAAGUUUCUUAUCCACAGAUACAGGCCUAGAGGGAGCCAAUAACCACAUGGAAUACAAACAGGAAUGAAAUAAAGUUCUUGACCUCAAUGAGAUUGAAAUUCACUUACUUCUUCACCCAGUCCUUCCCAACCAGCAUUCUCAUUAGACAACCUCAGAAAAAGAAAAAAGAAGAAGAAGAAAAAAAAAAAAAAAACCCACUUAUUUUAGAACCUUGGGAGUCAAGCUGGAGCCUGGGCAGCCUUUCCACUUGUUGGAACUCCUUUGUCGAUGCUCAGAUGUACAACGCUCUUUUUCAUCUGGUUGCUUUUAUAAUGCAAAGGGCAGAGGCAAAUUAUUUGGAGUACAAUCAGUGGGUCCAGGGUAUUGAAACACUCCUCUUCAUGACAAUGCCAAGUUACUUUAUUUGUUCAUGAAGCACUUGAAAAAUGAGAAAGAGCCUUCAAGAGAGAGCAGAGAACAAGUUGGCUCCCAAUGCUUUCAUUACCAAAAGAGGGUGUUAAAAUGCAUAGAAAUGUUAAAUCUCUCCUAAAAAAAAAAAAAAAAAAAUCAAUGAAUGACACAUUCAGUUAGAGCUCACUCAACCCUGAUUUCACAAUCACAGGAGAUCUUAACAGGGAAAUGGUUCGGAAGUAUAAAAAGUAUUUUAAUUUCA